GUGUCAGCCGCCGCGGUAAUACAUAGGGGGCAAGCGUUAUCCGGAAUUACUGGGUGUAAAGGGUGCGUAGGCGGUUAAGUAAGUCAGAUGUGAAAACUCAUUGCUCAACGAUGAGAAUGCAUUUGAAACUACUUGACUAGAGUAUGGGAGAGGUAAGUGGAAUUCCUAGUGUAGCGGUAAAAUGCGUAGAUAUUAGGAAGAACACCAGUGGCGAAGGCGACUUACUGGACCAAAACUGACGCUGAGGCACGAAAGCGUGGGGAGCAAACAGGAUUAGAUACCCUGGUAGUCCACGCUGUAAACGAUGAAUACUAGGUGUUGGCUUCUUAAGAGGUCAGUGCCGCAGCUAACGCAAUAAGUAUUCCACCUGGGAAGUACGAUCGCAAGAUUGAA
rnacentral:rRNA from 1 species